AUCAAUGCUUAAAACCCAUUUCAAAUCUUAAUUAAAAUCCUUAUUCCAUCUGCAACUUCAACAGCCACAUUCAUCUUCUUCUCUGCUGUUUCAACUCCACUUCCAAUCGGCCACAACGACGACGGCGCCUCGAUGGCGCGCUGCCACCGGUAGAACGCGAGGGAUCACUGAACGUGGGUGAUUGCGACGUGGGGUGAUGGGGUCGUUGCUGCAGAUGGAGAACGUGCGAGGAUCUGCGGUUUCUGCUUCCAUUGCUGCUAAAACACGUUGUGGGCUAUGGCUAAUUUUGGGCCAAUUGGGCCAAAUGUAUUUGGGCUGUUGGUUUUUAGUUUGGUGUAUUGGGUCAUUGGGCUUUAAGAUUUUGGGCCCCGGGCAAUAAUUGGGUAUUACAAUUAAAUUAAUCAAGUUAUAUUAUUUUUAAAA